GGUUCCAGUGCCUGGAGUUUCUAGCUAGAAAACAAACGUAACUCAGAAUGAAUGGUCAUAGUCUAGGAAAAUGAAAUGUAAGCUUAACCAAUCAGAAAUAGCCAACUUGGAACUUUUCACUUUAACCAAGCAAAUAUUUUCUUUGCCUUCCUUCUAUAAACACCUUAUAAAAGGUGUCCCCUGGUGUUCCCUCGGUGGAUCCCUGAACCGCCUGGGGUCUGGCACUGCCCAAUUCAUGAAUGACUGACUGUUCAAAUAAACUCAUCAACAUUUUAAUGUGCCUGAGUUUAUCUUUUGACACAGGACAUGGACCUGUCUGUACUUGUUCACCAUGGAAUCCCCAGCCCCAUGGCAGUGCCUGUACCGGGCAGUGCCUCGAUUAGCUGAAAGAAUGAUUACUCCUAAAUAGUAAUCAAAUGAACAGGACUUCAUGUAGGACCAAACAUCCUCCUGCAUCGAGCUAUAAAAAAUAGAGAGCCGAAGUAUUCAGGGUGCAGGAGCGUCCUUGGGUGUGGGACGAGGGAACUGUCUACCUGCCAGCUGGAGGCCACACCUGGGUUGCCUGAUGUCACAGCCAUCCUUCUCUGCCAAGUUCAUGACCCCCAGAGACGAGGUCUCCAGGGUGAGAGGGCUGAUGAGAGGGGGCCGCUGUCUGGGGGGAUCUCUGACAUAGUGGGAGUGGGAGCUCCUUUGUGGUGCUUGACUUUCUCCGAAGGCUUUUUGUUUUCUGACCUUGGAAUUUUGCUUGUUUGCUUGCAAUGAAGCUAUACUAAGUUGAACAGCUUUUGUUUUAAUCACUGGAGUUACAAUAAAGGAAAAGAGAAAUGGGGGAAAGCACUGAAAAAAAUUACAAAAAAAAGUUCAGACCUCGAAUGGGGUCUCCUGCCCUACCACCAGGAAAUGCUUGUUAGCUUGGAAAAUGUGAAAUGUUGAUGAAAAUGUUUCUCAACAAAUUUAGGUGAAAUGGGCUGAGACAAACUGACCUUGACCUUGCUAUCUCCUCUCACCCCUCCUCUGCUUGGACCUGCCUUUCCCCUUUCUGAUUUUUCCCCUCAGCUGAGUCACAUUUGCUGCCCCUGCAACCCAAAACAGGUUAAAUGCAGUCAAAAGGAAAGGCGUUGUUACUCACUCGGCAGCAGGGGGAGGCUUGUCCCCAAGCACCCGGUACUUUCUCUCCAUUUUGUUGGGCUUGGGGUGCGGUGUGAAGCUGUGGGACAAAGGUGGGUGGGUGGUCUGGAGGCUGUGGACAGACGCAAGGCAGGUCUGAGCCUGCAGGAUCCCUGCCUGGGUUUCUGGAGGCAUUGGGCCUGCCCGUGGGCAACCGGACUUCCAUUUCUAGGGCCUAGCCCUUUGGGGCGUUUCCCUUCUCAACAGCUGUGAGUCUACCUUACCGUAAGGUGAAAUCUUAACCACCUUAACUGCUGAAACCCAACCACAGCUGCUGUGAGAGGGCAAGGGGUGGAGGUGCUCAGGCCCAGAAAUUUGCAUUCCUGCUUCCCCGUGAUGAGGACCCAAAGAAAAAAAAACAUUGAGCCACAGGUAGGGUUGCCAGAUUUAGCCAUAACAAUACAGCACGCCCAUUUAAACUUGAAUUUCAUAUAAACACCGUAAUUUUCAGCAUUAGUGUAUCACAUGCAGUAUUUGGGACAUACUUAUGCUAAAAAAUUAGGUGGUGUUGAUCUGAAAUUCCAGUGUAGAUGGGCACCCUCUCUUUUAUCUGGCAGCCCUAGUGACAUGGACUUUGUUUCGUAACCUCUCAGAGACUGAACAUGUAAACAGGUCAUGGCUGGAUCAUAUAAAAAAUAGAGCUCUGCCCCAUGAUGUGCAGCAACCUACCCAGAAGGCCACCCCCACCUUAUCUCCAAGAAGCCACCCAGGAAGUCAGCCUGCUCUAAGUCAGAUUUGCAGGAAGUGAGAUUGUCAUCUUUGGGGACAGUCCAGGAAGCUACACAAUAUCACCUAUAACAGUAGGUCCCAAAUGGCCAGGACUUAAUUAAUAAAUGACAGCUUCCCUAAUUUUUGUCCUCAUUUCCAACUUUGGACCAACCAGAGAAAGCCAAACAUGUCCCGUAACCAAUCACGUGGGAUGCCCUGCUUUCAGUGGGCAACCUCCAGCUUCCUCAUGACAGCAGCCCCCAACCAGCGCACAGCUGGAGAGGAGGGCAAUGCUUCCCACUCCUCUGCCUGCCCUGGGAGCUCUGCUGAAACACCCUGGAUGGUGACUGACUCCCUGCUGUGGUCAGCUCUGAGUCAAUAGCCUUUGCUCUUCUCAUGUGGCUGGUCUUUGUUUCUUUCCCCAUUGCACACAGCACGCAUGCUCAAAAAGACCUUCUGGAGGGAAAGGCAAAGCAGGGAUUCCCCUUGCCUUCUCAAAACCAGGAACAAACCCAUGUCAACCAGGCUGACACAAAGAGCUAGUGAGUCUACUCAGCCAUGGGGCUUCUGAUAUGCACCUUCCAUAAAAUAUGCAUGUGGGGUAAACUUUGAGUCUAACAACCCCACUGAGGCUUGGUGGGCAGGGCGCCAAGGCCCAGAACUCUUUCUGUGGCUCUGUGAUGUCUCUCCAGGAAAGCCAUCUGCCCCGUCUUUCUAACCAUGACCGUGUGUGGAAGGUGGCACGGCUGAGAUCCAUCAGCACCAUGGACAACCAGCAAACUAAGGAUGGCGCUCACCCCUCACUGCGCCCCGUGGAGUCCCAGAGCCAUGAGCAUUGUGGUGCCUUCUGAGGAAAAGCCUGGGAAAGCCAUAGGUCAUCUCCUGCCUUUGUGUGGGGGGAUGGACUGGGAAGGGGCGAUUCUGGCUGCUUUGUGUCCUACCUGCCUGCAGAGGUAGCACUGGCACUGGGUACAGCCUUCUUCCCAGAGUUUUCUGGCUGGCACCGAUGUCGCUUGAAGCCUUUGGGUGACGAGGGCCCAGGACAGGAGCAGAGGACAGGAGGUGAGCACACAGCACCACCAGCCCCUGCCUCACUGCUGCCCCGAGACCCACAGGCCCAUGCGCCUCUACCUGUCUGGGACGGAUCUUUGUCACAAUGGUGGGUUGGCCAUUUUGUGUUGGGAAGUCUGAAACCAAAGGAAAGGGUGUGAGCUCUUCUCCGGUGACCAUGGGGGUAGCUCAGGCCAGGCUCUGAGCAGCAUCCCAGUUAGUCCUCAGCGCCACGUCAGUCAGUCCUGUCACGAGCCCCAUUUCAGAUGAGAAACUGGGGCUCUGGGUGGGGAAGCCCUUUGCCUGAGGUCACAGGCUCUCAGGGGUGGACUCACGUGGGAACCCCAGUGUGUGGGGCCCCAAAGCUGGUCCCUGAAGGUCCAGGGCCAGGGGCAGGGGUGGCAGAGCCUUAGGUGCACCCUGGGGCCACUCACUGCAGGAGCUUCCUGAUCACAUCCACAGCUGGGUCCUCAAUCAGGGGCUUCCCCACGCGGCUCAGCUGGGUGAAGGACUCAGGGGUGACCACGUCCAGCUUGGCCUCCUCUUCAAGGGCUUCUGAAGAUGUCAGGAUGUCACUGUCUUCCUCCUGGUCCUUCAGGAUGGUGUUCUGCAGGCCAGAGAGAAGGGCCUGAGGGUGUAAGGACCAGCCCAGGUGCCAGCGAGGCAGCAGGCCGAAUUCAUGUUCCCUCCCACCCUGCCUCAGUGGAGUGGCUGCAGGCAAGCUAGCUGACCUCAUUGAGCCACUAUUUUCUCCUCUGUAAAGUGAUCUCCCUUACAGAGCCAUUCAUUCAUUCAUCCGUUUAUUCAUGCCUUUAGAAAUUUUCCCGGGUGCCUGCUCUUCACAAGUCUCUGCCCAUGUUCUAGGAACACAGGGGCCAAGAGGCCAUAUAUGAUCCCUCCUGUCUCAGAGCUUGUGGUUUAGUCAGAAAAGACAGACAUUUAACUUGCACUUAUACCAAUAAAUGCUUCUCCAAAACUGGGACCAGUGCUGUGAAAGAAAAGUUCCAGUAUCUUCUGUGAGAUUGAAGUUAGACCUGCAGAUGUGCCCGGUCAAUGUUUUUGACCAAAUGGAUGGAGGAGUGAAUGCCAGGCUGAGUGAGUGGUCAGCUCCCCUUGAGCAGGCUCCUAGAGAAAGUGUGGAAUUGGCGCCCAUGGUGAGCACCUAGGCUGUUCUCUGUUUCAUUCUGAGUCUCAUCUUAGCAAUGGCCUGUCAGUCCCUUGAGUGAAGUCCUGGGAGACCUUCACUCAAAGUCUCCUAGUCACUCAAUACCUUCACGCUAGACCCUUGGAGCCCCAUGCUACUGGACACCCCACCAGAGGGAGAUGGAUGCCUAGUGCUGGCUGCAUGGUGGGAAGGGCCUCCCCAUGGAAGGAAGGUUGGUCAAGGCUUGGUGGUGAGAGCAGGGCCUAGCAGUGCUCUACUCUGCAGACAUUGGCUGUCAGGCCCUUCCCUGGAAGUUGGCUGAGCAUCUCAGCCCAAUGUGAGGUGUGGGCAGGGGUGGGGGUGAUGCAGGCUCUGCCCAUAGAGGCUUGCAGUCUCAGGGCAGACAGCAACCGAAAUGGAGACCCCAUCGUGUGGGGAAGUGGGAGGUGCUAUGGGCCGGGAGACCCCGACCCAGACCAGGAGGUGAGAGGAGGCUUGGUGGGGAGUGACAUCUUAGGCGGAGUGAGAGGGAUGAAGAGGCAUGGAGGACAAGCCGUGGAGGCUGCUGUGUGUCCAGUGAAAGCGUUUGGACUUUGCCCCGAGGGUAGGGAAGUGACAUGGUCUGACCAGCCUCUUCUGGCCAUGUUCGGGGAACGGACCAUGGGAGAUGUGAGAGGAUGUGGGCAUCAGGUGGGCAAGAGGCAGGGGUCUGGAUGAGGUGUUGGGGGUGCCAUGGGGAGAAGCCAGGGCUGCCCCUGGGUGCAGGUGGGAAGGAAGAGGCUGAGAGGUGGGACUGGCUUGAGAUUCCGUGGAUAGGGUGAGUGAGGGUCCUGAUGGAGCAGGUGAGGUAGUGCCAGGAGCUGAGGGGUCUCCUCUGAGACCAAUGCAAGGAAGUGGCCCCCUGGGGAUUAGAAUCCAGCUCUGACUUCACAGCUUGUGAUCUUUCCACAGCAUCUCAGUAAGCCUGAUGUCCCGCGGAGGCCUGGGAGUCCCCUCUUCCCUUUGGCUCUACUGAGCCCUGCAGGUCUCCUGGGAGCCCAGACAACAGCUCACCCACCCUUUCCUGCCACCCUAUCCCAUUCCUUACGGUAAAGACCAGUUCAGUCAUGGACACCCUGUCCAGGCUGCAGUUAAGGUACUGAAUCCUCUGGCUCAGUUUUUCCUUCCAAGUUUGGACGAAGCUGAGGAGUUCUUCUGUGGUCACUGUCUGGUGAGAAAAGGGAGGAAGAAAGCCCCAAGGAAGCAGACUGCAGGAGGGUGGGUAGAUUCUGUGGGAAGUGCGGGAACAGGGGCUGGGCUGAUGAGGAUACCUCUUGGCUUAAUGGAGGCUCCUCACAUGCAGGGAAGGCCCUUGGGGAGUGGGGAAGGCUGGGCUGGCUCUGCUAGGCAGCCUUCACUUCACAGUGAAGGACAACGCACCCUUCACUGAUGGGAACAUCAGGAGUUCUCUUCCUGGAUCUACAGUUUCAACUCUGAGCAAAUAACUUAAACUUGCUCAACUUGUUCUCCCCAUCUGUAAGAUGGGGACACAAAAUAUUCCCUAGGAUCUCCUCUGGCUCUCACAUUCUAUGUUUAGAAGGAAACAUUUGACGCAGGUGGCAAGGGUGUGCAGGAGUGUGUAGGAGAGUGAUCUGGCCACCUCCAUGGCAAUGUCUAACACGCACCCUCUCGGAGCAGCACCCCACAGGUGUGCAGGAAUGCAACGGUGAGGAUCUUCCCUCUCGCCACACAUUCAAGGCAUCACUCUUGUCCCCUAAUCACCGCUCUGCAGACUGUCCAGCCAGCCUCCUCUGUCAACACAGGAAUGCCCGCACACCCAUGCUCACAUGAUCCUCACCUGGCUGGGAGGCUGGGCAAGCCCCUGGCACCCACCCAACACCCUAACAGGAGAGGACAGAGCAGGGGUUGGGAGGCGAGGAUGUGAGAGACUGGACGUUUCUGUUCUGGAGAGGUAGAGCUGCCUUAAAGAGCCUGUUGAAGAGUUACAGCUGAUUAACCUCAUCUUCCCCCUGCUCCUCAUUAGGGGGCUCAUAAGGGAGAUCAGGCAAGUCACAGGCAAAAUAUAGGAGCCACCCUUCCUCUGCACAACUGCACUGCAGGGCAAGUAAUCUCAGUGGAUGUGUAGAAACAAGUGCAUGCAUAUACAUAACAGGGUUUACAGUGCCUCUGUGCAAAAUGAGAAUAGUGAGAGGGACAUUUAUUCUGCAAACUAUGCUUUGUGGGUGUUUACGCUUUUUUCAAGAGUCAUGCAAUAAACUAUAUAAGAAAAAGCAAUAAAGACAGAAAAAUAAACAUCCUCUCAGUGCUAAUAAUAGAACUGCAACUCAGAGUCACUGAAAUGGUAGAGAAAAGACAGAGAACGGUGAGGAGAAAGCUUCCCACUCCAGAACCUUCAGGCUGGGGUGUCUGGUUCUGGGAGCACCUGGCUGGACUGUUGAGGAAUGGUUCCCUGGUGUGGCCUGGGCGACAGGCCAGGGGAGACUGAGUUGAGCAAGUUUAAGUCAUUUGCCCGGAGUUGAACCCGUAGAUCCAGGAAGAGAACUCCCGAUGUCCCCCAUCAUUGAAGGGUGUGCUGUCAUUCACUGGGGGACAGAGUCGUGCACUCAUGGCAGAAAAAGCAGCACAUAGACAACCAGAGACCUGCUCUGAGGAUCAGAGCCAGGCGAACGCUUGGAACCACGCUCUCCACAAACUGUUCCAAUUCUGACUUUUCAUACUUUAAACACAGAAAACCAGUUUCUGUGCUACGAUCAAAAGAAGCAAGUGAGGCCGAAUGCGAUGGCUCACACCUGUAAUCCCAGCACUUUGGGAGGCUGAUGUGGGCGGGUCACUUGAGGUCAGGAGUUUUGAGACCAGCCUGGCUAACAUGGUGAAACCCUGUCUCUACUAAAAAUACAAAAAUUAGCCGGGUAUGGUGGCAGGUGCCUGUAGUCCCAGCUACUUGGGAUGCUGAGGCAGUACAAUCACUUGAACCCGGAGGCAGAGGUUGCAGUGAGCUGAGAUUGUGCCACUGCACUCCAGCCUGGGUGACAGAGUGAGACUUCGUCUCAAAAAAAAAAAAAAAAAAAAAAGCAAGUGGAAAGUCAAACAAAAAGUGGUUGUUCAGGGGGCAGGGCCCUGCUUCUGUCAUGCAUCUAGGACUGAGUUCUCCUUACAGCAAGGGACACCUGGUGACAUCCCAAGGGAGUGAGGUCAGAGGAAGCCAGACUCAGGCCUCCCCCAACACUAGACGCUGCUCCAUGCUUGCCUGGGAGGGGUUGGAG
rnacentral:lncRNA from 10 species